GGGGCUAAAGAUUGUGGUCCGA
rnacentral:siRNA from 1 species